rnacentral:rRNA from 1 species
GCUCUUAUGAAGUUAGCGGCGGACGGGUGAGUAACACGUGGGUAACCUACCCAUAAGACUGGGAUAACUCCGGGAAACCGGGGCUAAUACCGGAUAAUAUUUUGAACUGCAUAGUUCGAAAUUGAAAGGCGGCUUCGGCUGUCACUUAUGGAUGGACCCGCGUCGCAUUAGCUAGUUGGUGAGGUAACGGCUCACCAAGGCGACGAUGCGUAGCCGACCUGAGAGGGUGAUCGGCCACACUGGGACUGAGACACGGCCCAGACUCCUACGGGAGGCAGCAGUAGGGAAUCUUCCGCAAUGGACGAAAGUCUGACGGAGCAACGCCGCGUGAGUGAUGAAGGCUUUCGGGUCGUAAAACUCUGUUGUUAGGGAAGAACAAGUGCUAGUUGAAUAAGCUGGCACCUUGACGGUACCUAACCAGAAAGCCACGGCUAACUACGUGCCAGCAGCCGCGGUAAUACGUAGUGGCAAGCGUUAUCCGGAAUUAUUGGGCGUAAAGCGCGCGCAGGUGGUUUCUUAAGUCUGAUGUGAAAGCCCACGGCUCAACCGUGGAGGGUCAUUGGAAACUGGGAGACUUGAGUGCAGAAAAGAAAGUGGAUUCCAUGUGUAGCGGUGAAAUGCGUAAAGAUAUGGAGGAACACCAGUGGCGAAGCGACUUUCUGGUCUGUAACUGACACUGAGGCGCGAAACGUGGGGAACAACAGGAUUA